UCUGUCAUCGGUCAAUUUACCCAGGCCUUUGCAGUUAUACAUUUUCCAAUUCGAUGGCGGAGUACAGCAAUGGAACCUUUGGAUACAUGGCCAGUGGCUGAUGAGCUGGACUAUUAGCUCCAUGUCUCUGGGCUGUUGGCCAAGCGAGUGACCUGCUAUCAGUUCUCUCGAUCUUGGUCAAUAGCCCCGAGACUGUUUUCGGCUUCUGAUUACCAUUCAAAAUUUCCGAGGACAUCGCUUAUCAAUAUUCGCAAUAACUACCAUAGAAGACAAACCUAACUGAUUUAGAGGAUUUUUUCUCAUUUUAUACAUUGUUUGCUAAAUAAAAAUGUAGAAAAGUA